rnacentral:rRNA from 1 species
ACAUGCAAGUCGUGGGGCAGCAUGAAUGUAGCAAUACAUUUGAUGGCGACCGGCAAACGGGUGCGGAACACGUACACAACCUUCCUACAAGUGGGGAAUAGCCCAGAGAAAUUUGGAUUAAUACCCCGUAACAUAUAGAGAUGGCAUCAUUUUUAUAUUAUAGCUACGGCGCUUGUUGAUGGGUGUGCGGCUGAUUAGGUAGUUGGCGGGGUAACGGCCCACCAAGCCUUCGAUCAGUAGCUGAUGUGAGAGCAUGAUCAGCCACACGGGCACUGAGACACGGGCCCGACUCCUACGGGAGGCAGCAGUAAGGAAUAUUGGACAAUGGGCGCAAGCCUGAUCCAGCCAUGCCGCGUGAAGGAUUAAGGUCCUCUGGAUUGUAAACUUCUUUUAUAAGGGACGAAAAAAGGGAAUUCUUUCUCACUUGACGGUACCUUAUGAAUAAGCACCGGCUAACUCCGUGCCAGCAGCCGCGGUAAUACGGAGGGUGCAAGCGUUAUCCGGAUUCACUGGGUUUAAAGGGUGCGUAGGCGGGUAUUUAAGUCAGUGGUGAAAUCCUAGAGCUUAACUCUAGAACUGCCAUUGAUACUAUUUAUCUUGAAUAUUGUGGAGGUAAGCGGAAUAUGUCAUGUAGCGGUGAAAUGCUUAGAUAUGACAUAGAACACCUAUUGCGAAGGCAGCUUACUACGCAUAUAUUGACGCUGAGGCACGAAAGCGUGGGGAUCAAACA